UCAGAUGAACGCUGGCGGCGUGCUUAACACAUGCAAGUCGAACGGUGAAGCCAAGCUUGCUUGGUGGAUCAGUGGCGAACGGGUGAGUAACACGUGAGCAACCUGCCCUGGACUCUGGGAUAAGCGCUGGAAACGGCGUCUAAUACUGGAUAUGAGACGUGAUCGCAUGGUCGUGUUUGGAAAGAUUUUUCGGUCUGGGAUGGGCUCGCGGCCUAUCAGCUUGUUGGUGAGGUAAUGGCUCACCAAGGCGUCGACGGGUAGCCGGCCUGAGAGGGUGACCGGCCACACUGGGACUGAGACACGGCCCAGACUCCUACGGGAGGCAGCAGUGGGGAAUAUUGCACAAUGGGCGGAAGCCUGAUGCAGCAACGCCGCGUGAGGGAUGACGGCCUUCGGGUUGUAAACCUCUUUUAGCAGGGAAGAAGCGAAAGUGACGGUACCUGCAGAAAAAGCGCCGGCUAACUACGUGCCAGCAGCCGCGGUAAUACGUAGGGCGCAAGCGUUAUCCGGAAUUAUUGGGCGUAAAGAGCUCGUAGGCGGUUUGUCGCGUCUGCUGUGAAAUCCCGAGGCUCAACCUCGGGUCUGCAGUGGGUACGGGCAGACUAGAGUGCGGUAGGGGAGAUUGGAAUUCCUGGUGUAGCGGUGGAAUGCGCAGAUAUCAGGAGGAACACCGAUGGCGAAGGCAGAUCUCUGGGCCGUAACUGACGCUGAGGAGCGAAAGGGUGGGGAGCAAACAGGCUUAGAUACCCUGGUAGUCCACCCCGUAAACGUUGGGAACUUUUGUGGGGACCAUUCCACGGUUUCCGUGACGCAGCUAACGCAUUAAGUACCCCGCUGGGAGGAGA
rnacentral:rRNA from 1 species